rnacentral:rRNA from 1 species
UGACCCUACGGGGCGCAGCAGUGGGGAAUAUUGCACAAUGGGGGAAACCCUGAUGCAGCGACGCCGCGUGAAGGAAGAAGUAUUUCGGUAUGUAAACUUCUAUCAGCAGGGAAGAAAAUGACGGUACCUGACUAAGAAGCCCCGGCUAACUACGUGCCAGCAGCCGCGGUAAUACGUAGGGGGCAAGCGUUAUCCGGAUUUACUGGGUGUAGAGGGAGCGUAGGCGGUGCAGCAAGUCAGAAGUGAAAGCCCGGGGCUCAACUCCGGGACUGCUUUUGGAACUGU